GCCCUAGUAGCUUAGCCCUAUAAAGCAUC
rnacentral:tRNA from 2 species